rnacentral:lncRNA from 1 species
CUCGCGCUGCAGGCGCACCGCGGCUCGUGCCAGAAUGAAGAUGGCUUCCUGUCCCGCUAGCGUCACGUCGGGAUCUGCCUUCACCAAGGCCUUCACUCGCGCCAGAGGCAACCUCGAGAGACGAGCCCCAGGCACACUCGUUGGGGCCUGGGGCUGCGAGGCCGCUGCCUCCCCAGCAGGCCAUUAUAACUACAUUCUUAGAAUGUGAUCCCUUUCAACAUUUCCUGCACCUCUGCUUCUGCACACUACCACCAAAAGACAAGAAAGGCAAGGAGACGUGACUGGAGCAAGAAAAACAGUGUUUUUCACACAAGGAUGUCCACUCCUUGUUGGGAAUGGCUUAAGAUCGACCUGGGAAAGCAAAACAUCGCCAUAUCAUUUGGAGGAAAGGCACUGGUUGGAAGAGCCUGUUGGCGUGGCAAAGCCAAGGUCUUUAAAGUCCUCAGAGAAGGCAGGCAUAGCCACCACUGGAGGACUUCCUGAUAUGUGGUACAGAGACUGAUGAGGGCAUGGGGUGACAACCUUAGGUGCCAACAGCAAGGGGAUGGAUAUACAGGGUAAAGGAGGCUUGCUGCCAUCCUACGCCUUUGAACGCCACAAAUCAGAGAUGGUACCAUGGAGGAACAUGAACAGGUGAGAGCUGAGGCAUGGGUGCCCACACACAGCCCAAGCCCAGGUGCUAACAGUUGACCAUCAGUAGCCCAGUGCCCCGAAUUCAUCCUGCGCCUGAUUAUCACCCAAAAGCAGUGCAUCGGCACCAUUCUGGUGACUCAAUAUCACACAAUGGCACCAGCCAGCAGGAACAAUCCAAUUGCCAGGCUGCCCUCCUGCACAGAGCCCAAGCCACAGAGCCCUCAGAUAACUCCAUUGAUGCAAAUCUCAGAGUUCCUCAAGGAAACAGGUCAACCCUGCACAUGGAGUGGAGAUUCAGAAAGGCCCCAAAAAGGAAAAAAACAAGGAUCAGUGUCCAUGUAUGUCCCUGUAUGGGGCUGCCAUUUGUCCUAACCACCCUGGGGUCUGCCAUAGCUGAGCCAGCCCUACUGGAAGAGGAUAGUCAAAUAACCUCACUCGUAUUCUUUUGCCACUUACUGUGUUGCCCUAGCUUCCCUCCAGGGGAUCCUCAUUUUGUCCUAGGCUCAACCUUACCUUUGAUCACUUUAGGACUCAGGCACAAGAUUUCACAUUGCUGGGAAUCCAUUUUCAGUCUUUGAAAAGACACAGUGAUUCUUCAGGAAGUUUGUUAUCCCAAAGAUGCAACAGAGACAGAAUUUCCCAGCUUGAAGGGAUUUGAAACAUCCAUAAAGUUACAGAAAUUCAUAUCUGGAGGAGUCUUAACGGUCAUUCAGACCAACGCUUUCUCGGGUAUCUAUAACAUCCAAUGCCCUAGUUUCCCUGCUGUCUUUUUUGGCCACUCCUUUUCAAUCUCCUUUGCAGGCUACCCUUUACAGGGCUCAGUCUCCACACUCUUUUGUUCUAGAUUUUCCCCUGGUGACCUCACCGAGGCCUACAGCUUUAAAUACCAUCCAUAUGCUGAUAAUUCCCAAAUUUAUAUUUCCAGUCCCAAGCUCUCCACUGAGUUUCAGGCUCAUAUAUCCAAAUGUCUACUUCUUGCCUUCAGUAUACCUUACAAACCUCUCAAGUUUGACGUGCCUAGAACUGGACUCUGGAUUUUACCUUUUGCCCGUAUCAACAAGUUCCUCUCUUAGUCUUCCAAUCACAGAAAGGGCUCCACCAUCAAGAUGGACAUGAGCCUAAAACCCAAGAAUUCUUGUUUCCUGCCUUCCUUUCCUUCUCUCACAUUCAGUCUCCUGGUAGACUUGUUCAUUUACUUCCACCAUUUCUAUCUACUUCUUUUCAUCUCCAGUGCCAACAUUCUUGUCCAAGCCAUCACUCUCUCUCCCCAAACCACUCCAAUAGCAUCCUAACUGGUUUUCCCUACCCUUAUCUCACCUCAAUCCAUUCUCUGCAUAUUAGCUGGAGUGAUCCUUUCAAGAAGUGAAUACAAACCUUAAAUCUUUCAACAGCCCUCACUGCAUCCAGAAUAAAAUCCAAGCACCUAUAACUGCCUAAUAUGGCUUCUGUCCACAUCUAACCUCAAAUCUUACCUUCUGCCCUUGCUGUGCUCAAGCCUUUCUGGCCUUUCAUUUCCUUAAACACACCAAGCCUUUCCAGCAUCAGAGACUUUACAAUUCUUCCUGGAAUGCUCUUCCACUAAUUUCUUUAGGUCAUAGUUUGUGGUCAUUUGAAAACAUGUCCACAAAUUCUUUUCUAUCCUAAAAAAAGGGGGAAUCCAAUUCCCCUCCUCUUGAACAUGGACUAGCCUCAGUGGCUUGCUACUAAUGAAUUAAAUGGUAUAGAAGUGACUGUAACUUCUUAGACUAGGUGACCAAAGAUGGCACAGCCUCCACCUGGUUCUCUGUCUUGUGAGGCUCACCCUUGGAACCCAGCCAUCAUGCUGUGACAAAGCCAUGUACCACAUGCAGGUGUUUCGGGGAACAGACCUGUCAGAGGUCCUUGCCAACAGCCAACAUCAGUCAGCAUCAACCACUAGACAUGUAAGUGAGGAAGCCUCCAGAUGAUUCCAGUUCCCACCUUCAGCUGAUGUUAGGUGGAGCAGAGACAUGCUGUCCCCACCUGCCUAAACUGCAGAUUCAUGAGUAAUGUAAUUUCUGUCAUUGUUUUAAGCCAUUAAGUUUUGGGGCAGUUUGUCACACAGCAAUAGACAACUGGAACACAGCUCAUAUGCCCCUUCUCAGAACUGCCCUCCCUGAUCAUCCUAAGUGCCCAUUGGCAUUAUCCAUAACCUGAAAAUUAUUAUGAUUGAUCCUAAAGUCCAGCCUGGUGCCUGGCACGUAGGAGAUGCUCAGUGAAUAUUUGUGGAAUGAUUGAAUAAGGAAAUGAAUCCUCUUGUCACAUUUGAAGUUAUCAGUCAUCAAUAAAAUGGGGAUUUGUUUCAUCGUUUGCA